UGGUAGCAAUACUGAGCGAAGCUAGUGGCGAACGGGUGCGUAACACAUGAGUCAUCUGCCCAAAAGUGGGGCAUAGCUCGGCGAAAGCCGGAUUAAUACCGCAUGUGGUCAGGCCUUUGGCCGGACCAAAGCCGGGGCAACCUGGCGCUUUUGGAGGAGCUCGUGGCCUAUCAGCUAGUUGGUGAGGUAACGGCUUACCAAGGCAACGACGGGUAGCUGGUCUGAGAGGACGACCAGCCACACUGGAACUGAGAUACGGUCCAGACACCUACGGGUGGCAGCAGUCGAGAAUUUUUCUCAAUGGGGGAAACCCUGAAGGAGCGACGCCGCGUGGAGGAUGAAUGCUUUCGGGUUGUAAACUCCUGUCAUUUGGGAACAAGGCUUUACGUUAACUGCGUGGAGGAUUGAUAGUACCAGAAGAGGAAGAGACGGCUAACUCUGUGCCAGCAGCCGCGGUAAUACAGAGGUCUCGAGCGUUGUUCGGAUUCAUUGGGCGUAAAGGGUGCGUAGGUGGCGUCGUAAGUCGGGUGUGAUAUUUCGGAGCUUAACUCCGAAACUGCAUUCGAUACUGCCGUGCUUGAGGACUGGAGAGGAGACUGGAAUUCUCGGUGUAGCA
rnacentral:rRNA from 1 species